rnacentral:misc_RNA from 1 species
GAUGAAGAACGGUAGCGAAAUGCGAUAAGUAAUGUGAAUUGCAGAAUUCAGUGAAUCAUCGAAUCUUUGAACGCACAUUGCGCCCAUUAGUAUUCUAGUGGGCAUGCCUGUUCGAGCGUCAUUAAGUCCACUUAAGCCCUGCUUAGUGUUGGGAGACUGCUCCAGCGGUGCUACCCUGUAGCUACCCUGCAGCUCCUCAAAGACAGCGGCGGAGUUGUGGUAUCCUCUGAGCUUAGUAACUUGUUCUAGCUUUCGAGUACACCACUUCCCCUGCCGUAAAACCCUUAAUUUUUAAUGGUUGACCUCGGAUCAGGUAGGAAUACCCGCUGAACUUAAGCAUAUCAAUAAGCGGAGGA